GACGAACGCUGGCGGCGUGCUUAACACAUGCAAGUCGAGCGGAAAGGCCCUUCGGGGUACUCGAGCGGCGAACGGGUGAGUAACACGUGAGUAACCUGCCCCAGACUUUGGGAUAACCCUCGGAAACGGGGGCUAAUACCGGAUACGACACAGCUUCGCAUGGGGUCUGUGUGGAAGUUUUUCGGUUUGGGAUGGGCUCGCGGCCUAUCAGCUUGUUGGUGGGGUGAUGGCCUACCAAGGCGACGACGGGUAGCCGGCCUGAGAGGGCGACCGGCCACACUGGGACUGAGACACGGCCCAGACUCCUACGGGAGGCAGCAGUGGGGAAUAUUGCACAAUGGGCGGAAGCCUGAUGCAGCGACGCCGCGUGAGGGAUGACGGCCUUCGGGUUGUAAACCUCUUUCAGCAGGGACGAAGCGUAAGUGACGGUACCUGCAGAAGAAGCGCCGGCCAACUACGUG
rnacentral:rRNA from 1 species